AUUGAACGCUGGCGGCAGGCUUAACACAUGCAAGUCGAGCGGAGAUGAGGUGCUUGCACCUUAUCUUAGCGGCGGACGGGUGAGUAAUGCUUAGGAAUCUGCCUAUUAGUGGGGGACAACAUUCCGAAAGGAAUGCUAAUACCGCAUACGCCCUACGGGAGAAAGCAGGGGAUCUUCGGACCUUGCGCUAAUAGAUGAGCCUAAGUCGGAUUAGCUAGUUGGUGGGGUAAAGGCCUACCAAGGCGACGAUCUGUAGCGGGUCUGAGAGGAUGAUCCGCCACACUGGGACUGAGACACGGCCCAGACUCCUACGGGAGGCAGCAGUGGGGAAUAUUGGACAAUGGAGGGAACCCUGAUCCAGCCAUGCCGCGUGUGUGAAGAAGGCCUUAUGGUUGUAAAGCACUUUAAGCGAGGAGGAGGCUACUGAGACUAAUACUCUUGGAUAGUGGACGUUACUCGCAGAAUAAGCACCGGCUAACUCUGUGCCAGCCGCCGCGGUAA
rnacentral:rRNA from 1 species